rnacentral:rRNA from 1 species
UACAGAGGUAUCAAGCGUUGUUCGGAUUCAUUGGGCGUAAAGGGUGCGUAGGCGGCGCGGUAAGUCGGGUGUGAAAUCUCGGAGCUUAACUCCGAAACUGCAUUCGAUACUGCCGUGCUUGAGGACUGGAGAGGAGACUGGAAUUUACGGUGUAGCUGUGAAAUGCGUAGAUAUCGUAAGGAAGACCAGUGGCGAAGGCGGGUCUCUGGACAGUUCCUGACGCUGAGGCACGAAGGUCAGGGGAGCAAACGGG